rnacentral:rRNA from 1 species
GACGAACGCUGGCGGCGUGCUUAACACAUGCAAGUCGAACGGAAAGGCCCUGCUUUUGUGGGGUGCUCGAGUGGCGAACGGGUGAGUAACACGUGAGUAACAUGCCCUUGACUUUGGGAUAACUUCAGGAAACUGGGGCUAAUACCGGAUAGGAGCUCCUGCUGCAUGGUGGGGGUUGGAAAGUUUCGGCGGUUGGGGAUGGACUCGCGGCUUAUCAGCUUGUUGGUGGGGUAGUGGCUUACCAAGGCUUUGACGGGUAGCCGGCCUGAGAGGGUGACCGGCCACAUUGGGACUGAGAUACGGCCCAGACUCCUACGGGAGGCAGCAGUGGGGAAUAUUGCACAAUGGGCGGAAGCCUGAUGCAGCGACGCCGCGUGCGGGAUGACGGCCUUCGGGUUGUAAACCGCUUUCGCCUGUGACGAAGCGUGAGUGACGGUAAUGGGUAAAGAAGCACCGGCUAACUACGUG